UAAGGAAUAUUGGUCAAUGGGCGGAAGCCUGAACCAGCCAUGCCGCGUGCAGGAAGACGGCCCUACGGGUUGUAAACUGCUUUUAUACGGGAAUAAACCUCCGGUCGUGACCGGAGCUGAAUGUACUGUAAGAAUAAGGAUCGGCUAACUCCGUGCCAGCAGCCGCGGUAAUACGGAGGAUCCAAGCGUUAUCCGGAUUUAUUGGGUUUAAAGGGUGCGUAGGUGGCCUGGUAAGUCAGGGGUGAAAGACGGUCGCUUAACGAUCGCAGUGCCUUUGAUACUGCCGGGCUUGAAUGAACUAGAGGUAGGCGGAAUGUGACAAGUAGCGGUGAAAUGCAUAGAUAUGUCACAGAACACCGAUUGCGAAGGCAGCUUACUAUGGUUUUAUUGACACUGAGGCACGAAAGCGUGGGGAUCAAACA
rnacentral:rRNA from 1 species